UACGGAGGGGGCUAGCGUUGUUCGGAAUUACUGGGCGUAAAGCGCACGUAGGCGGCUUUGUAAGUUAGAGGUGAAAGCCCGGGGCUCAACCCCGGAACUGCCUUUAAGACUGCAUCGCUUGAAUCCAGGAGAGGUGAGUGGAAUUCCGAGUGUAGAGGUGAAAUUCGUAGAUAUUCGGAAGAACACCAGUGGCGAAGGCGGCUCACUGGCCUGGUAUUGACGCUGAGGUGCGAAAGCUAGGGGAGCAAACGGG
rnacentral:rRNA from 1 species